UACUAACAGUAAUAUUUUCAAUUUUUGUUUCUAAUAAACCCAGAACAUCAAUAGAAAAUUUCCUACCCAAAUUCCUCACGCAUCUUUUCUUAUCUCUACCCCCUAAACCAUAAACAUUCCAAACAACAAUACUAUCCAUAAAAAUGAGUUGAAAGAACCAUACCGUCAGACUGGAUAAGAUAAUUAGCUUACUCCUUUUUCCUUCGUAGCCACUCCUCCUGCUCUUUUUCUAUGAAUCCCUGCAGUGUUUGUGUCAUCAGGCGAUUAUCAUCAUGCACUUGAAGGAUAGCUUUUCCCACUUCCCAGCAAGCAUUAGCUUCCUCCCACGAGCCGGACAGUAAAGUGUCAGCAGCUUGGCUACCAUGAGUUGCAGGGGAUCGAUAGAGUGAGCUACUGGCCUCAUCAUCACCCGCAUGUUCCUUCCCAGAACAAAUAAUUGCAUUUCUGUUCUUAAUGCCAUUGUCCGACACUGAAUACUCUA
rnacentral:lncRNA from 1 species